rnacentral:rRNA from 1 species
CCUACGGUAGGCAGCAGUGAGGAAUAUUGGUCAAUGGGCGCGAGCCUGAACCAGCCAAGUAGCGUGAAGGAUGACUGCCCUACGGGUUGUAAACUUCUUUUAUAAAGGAAUAAAGUGAGGCACGUGUGCCUCUUUGUAUGUACUUUAUGAAUAAGGAACGGCGAACUCCGGUCCAGCAGCCGCGGUAAUACGGAGGAUCCGAGCGUUAUCCGGAUUUAAUUGGUUUAAAGGGAGCGUAGAUGGGUUGUUAAGUCAGUUGUGAAAGUUUGCGGCUCAACCGUAAAAUUGCAAUUGAUACUGGCAGUCUUGAGUACAGUUGAGGUAGGCGGAAUUCGUGGUGUAGCGGUGAAAUGCUUAGAUAUCACGAAGAACUCCGAUUGCGAAGGCAGCUUACUAACCUGCCACUGACGUUGAUGCUCGAAAGUGUGGGUAUCAAACAGGAUUAGAUACCCUGGUAGUC